GAUAAACGCUGGCGGCGUGCUUAACACAUGCAAGUCGAACGAAGUUUUUCCUUCGGGAGAACCUUAGUGGCGGACGGGUGAGUAACGCGUGGGUAACCUGCCCUGUACAGGGGGACAACAGCUGGAAACGGCUGCUAAUACCGCAUAAGCCCUUAGCACUGCAUGGUGCAUAGGGAAAAGGAGCAAUCCGGUACAGGAUGGACCCGCGUCUGAUUAGCCAGUUGGCAGGGUAACGGCCUACCAAAGCGACGAUCAGUAGCCGAUCUGAGAGGAUGUACGGCCACAUUGGGACUGAGACACGGCCCAGACUCCUACGGGAGGCAGCAGUGGGGAAUAUUGCACAAUGGAGGAAACUCUGAUGCAGCGACGCCGCGUGAGUGAAGAAGUAUUUCGGUAUGUAAAGCUCUAUCAGCAGGGAAGAAAAUGACGGUACCUGACUAAGAAGCACCGGCUAAAUACGUG
rnacentral:rRNA from 1 species